rfam:Nasonia vitripennis chromosome 2, whole genome shotgun sequence.
UAACUUACUUGGCGCGGAGGAUACCGUGAUCAGGAAGGCGGCUCCUCCUGGGGGAGGCCCGACCAUUGCACCUGAGGCUCGGGUUGAACCUUGCGAAUACUCCCCAGCGGGUAUAUCGAGCGCAUAAUUUUUGGUAGUCGGGAUCAGCGUUCGCGCGAUCCUGG